rnacentral:ncRNA from 1 species
AACAUUUUGGUCCUGAACUUCCUGUUGUUUUUAACUAGAAUUACACGUGCACGCAUCAACAUUCCAGUGAGAAUGCCCAUAAACUACGUCCCAAUCAGACUAGCGGAGCCGGUAUCAGGCACACUAACUAGCCAAUAACACCUUGCCUUGCCACGCCCCCACGGGUCUACAGCAGUGAUUAACAUUAAACAUAAGCGAAAGCUUGAUUUAGCCAUAGUUAGCCACAAGGGCUGGUAAAUUUCGUGCCAGCCACCGCGGUUACACGAACAAGCCCAAAACAACAAACUGCGGCGUAAAGAGUGGCCAGAGUAUCACUAUUAAGGAAAAACACUUUCUCAUGCUGUAAAACGCAAAAGAAACCAGGAACACCCCCCCCCUUAUAACAAACUUAACUCCACGAAAGCAAGGGCACAAACUGGGAUUAGAUACCCCACUAUGCCUUGCCAUAAACCAAGAUGGGAAAAAUACGACCCAUCCGCCAAAGAACUACAAGCAAAACGCUCAAAACUUAAAGGACUUGACGGUAUUUCACAUCAACCUAGAGGAGCCCGUCCAAUAAUCGAUAAUACGCGUUAAACCCCACCACUUUUGGCCAUUCCAGCCUAUAUACCGCCGUCGUCAGCUAACCUUGUGAAAGAAAAAAAGUUAGCAAAACAGCCCCCGCUAACACGUCAGGUCAAGGUGUAGCUAAUAAAGUGGAUGAGAUAGGCUACAUUUUUUAACAUAAAAUCGCGGACAGUACAAUGAAAUCUUGUACCCAAAGAUGAAUUUAGCAGUAAAACUAGAAAGAACUCUAAUUUUAACCACGCCCUGAAAUGCGCACACACCGCCCGUCACCCUCCUCGACA